rnacentral:rRNA from 1 species
GAUGAACGCUGGCGGCGUGCCUAACACAUGCAAGUCGAGCGAAAACACAAUAAGAUCUUUCUCCUAACGUUAGCGAGUGACGGGCGGGUAACGCAUGCAUCACAUACUACUAUGACGUGGAUAAUAUCGUAAAACAGCUGACACUAAUACCUAAUACAACGUACGGGUUGGUGCAAUAGAUCUUCGCACCUUUCCCGAUUGUAUUAGCCGGGGGCGCAUUAGCUAGUUGGGGUGGUAAGGGCAUACCAUGGCGACGAUCCGUAGCGGGUCUGAGAGGAUGAUCAGCCACACUGGAACUGAGACACGGUCCAGACUCCUACGGGAGGCAGCAGUGGGGAAUCUUGCACAAUGGGCGAAAGCCUGACGGAGCAACACCGCGUGGGUGAUGAAGGUCUUCGGAUCGUAAAGCUCUGUUGUUGGGAAAGAACAAAAGUGUGUGAAACUAUGCACGUCUUGACGGUACCUAAUGAGAAAGCCACGGCUAACUACGUG